rnacentral:rRNA from 1 species
UGAUGUGGAGCGAAAUAAAGUAGUGAAGCGUGUGAGCCAUGUGCCGAGAAAAGCUGCUAUUGUGUAAUGCGUGCCCGUACCGUAAACCGACACAGGUGGAUGAGGAGAGAAUCCUAAGGCCGGCGGAAGAAGCAUUGUUAAGGAAUUCGGCAAAAUGACACCGUAACUUCGGGAGAAGGGGUGCCUGCGAGAGCAGGCCGCAGAGAAUAGGCUCAAGCAACUGUUUAGCAAAAACACAGGUCUAUGCGAAACCGAAAGGUGAAGUAUAUGGGCUGACGCCUGCCCGGUGCUGGAAGGUUAAGAGGAGAGGUUAGCUUCGGCGAAGCUUUGAAUUUAAGCCCCAGUAAACGGCGGCCGUAACAAUAACGGUCCUAAGGUAGCGAAAUUCCUUGUCGGGUAAGUUCCGACCCGCACGAAAGGCGUAAUGAUUUGAGCACUGUCUCGACAAUGCAUCCGGUGAAAUUGAAGUACCAGUGAAGAUGCUGGUUACCCGCGCCAGGACGGAAAGACCCCAUGGAGCUUUACUCCAGUUUGAUACUGGGAUUCGGUACUGCAUGUACAGGAUAGGUGGGAGACGAAGAAGGAUGGACGCCAGUCUGUCCGGAGUCGCUGUUGGGAUACCACCCCUGUAGUACUGGGUUUCUAACCAGUUGCCAUGAACUGGCAAUGGGACAAUGUCAGGCGGGGAGUUUGACUGGGGCGGUCGCCUCCGAAAGGGUAUCGGAGGCGCUCAAAGGUUCCCUCAGAAUGGUUGGAAACCAUUUGAAGAGUGCAAAGGCAGAAGGGAGCUUGACUGCGACACCGACGGGUGGAGCAGGUACGAAAGUAGGACUUAGUGAUCCGGUGGUAUAAAGUGGGAUUGCCAUCGCUCAACGGAUAAAAGCUACCCUGGGAUAACAGGCUUAUCACUCCCAAGAGUUCACAUCGACGGAGUGGUUUGGCACCUCGAUGUCGGCUCAUCGCAUCCUGGGGCUGUAGCAGGUCCCAAGGGUUGGGCUGUUCGCCCAUUAAAGCGGUACGCGAGCUGGGUUCAGAACGUCGUGAGACAGUUCGGUCCCUAUCCGGCGCGGGCGGAGGAUAUUUGAGAGGAGCUGUCCUUAGUACGAGAGGACCGGGAUGGACGGACCACUGGUGUAUCUGUUGUCGACCAACGGCAUGGCAGAGUAGCCAAGUCUGGAAGGGAUAAACGCUGAAGGCAUCUAAGUGUGAAGCCCCCCUCAAGAUGAGAUAUCCCUCCUUCGGGAGUAAGACCCCUUGAAGACUACAAGGUAGAUAGGGCAGAGGUGGAAGCAUGGCAACAUGUGGAGCUGACUGUUACUAAUAGGUCGAGGGCUUAAU